rnacentral:rRNA from 1 species
GCAGUUAAAAAGCUCGUAGUUGAAUUUCGGGGUCAUCAAGUUGGUCGUGCCACUGGUAUGCACUGGCUUUGCUGAUUCCUCCUUCUUGAAAGAACUGUAAUGCUAUUAAUUUAGUGUUGCAGGGAAACAGGACUGUUACUUUGAAAAAUUAGAGUGUUUAAAGCAGGCUAACGCUUGAAUACAUUAGCAUGGAAUAAUGAAAUAGGACGUUUGAUCCUAUUUUGUUGGUUUCUAGGAUUGACGUAAUGAUUAAUAGGGAUAGUUGGGGGCAUUAGUAUUCAAUUGUCAGAGGUGAAAUUCUUGGAUUUAUUGAAGACUAACUACUGCGAAAGCAUUUGCCAAGGAUGUUUUCAUUAAUCAAGAACGAAAGUUAGGGGAUCGAAGACGAUCAGAUACCGUCGUAGUCUUAACC